UCCUGAUUAUUGCUCUGUUUACCAACCUAAGCGGAAUGAACAAUUCUGCGAGUCCCACGUAAAAUCAGGAAUUCAAUUCCUGAUAUUGUCGGAAUUGGAUUACCUAGAAGGAGGUAGUAUUUGGAUUCCGGGGAGAAGGCUCCAUCCGGAAUCAAUUUUCCUUCCCAAAAUGCCCUGCACCUUCAGUCCUCCGCCAUCCUCUCCAGUAGCUCUCUGCUCAUCCGCCACCUCCUCUCGCUCUACCACCUCAAAAUCCUCCUCCAUAGGAUUCGGCAAAAUAAAAUCAACCCAAAAAUAGCAAAGCAUACCCAAAGCAAAAAUCAAAUCUUCAAAAAAACCGAACCCAGUUGCCAAUAAUAACAGAAAAUUCAGCAACAAAAGGAAAUGGAAAUGACGAAGAAGAGAGCGGUACCAGAGAGGUCGAGGGAGAGGAGCGGGUUCAGGUGAGAGAGACUCGAGCAAGACCCGAAUUGGCGCUCAGGUUUGUGGAGUCCCACGCUGAGGCACAGGCCCCGACGCUCGCACGUCGCCGAGGAAGGUGAUCUCUCUGCCGGGAUGAGGCUAUGAGCCGUGGGUUGUUGAUGAUGCCAAUUUGGAUGAGGACAACAAUGGGUUCUCUUAUCUGGGUUAGUAGAUAAGCACGGGACUUCAACUAUAAAAAUCCAAAAAUAAAAUAAUAAAAGUUUUACUAAAAAAUAAAAAGUAAUAAUUGUUCUCUCAUCUGAAAAAAAAAAAUUGAAAGAAUAAAAGAUUUACUAAAAAUAAUUAGCAUAUAAAAUUGAUUAAUUAAACUAGGGGUAUUUUAGUAAUCACAAUAGUUUUCAUUCCGAUUCAUGUGAAUUAGUAAACAGUUAUGUAGGUCAAUGUCAUUCAUACUCCGAUUCCUGCUAGUUUUAGUAAACAACUUCAAAAGGAAUUUGAUUCUGAUUCCAUCUCAUUUAUAUUCCUCCUCAAUUCAAUUCCUCCUCAAUUCAAUUCCUCUCAAUUUAAUUACGGAUUAGUAAACGUGCCUUAAGUCUCAAUCUCAU
rnacentral:lncRNA from 1 species